rnacentral:rRNA from 1 species
UACGUAGGGGGCAAGCGUUGUUCGGAAUUACUGGGCGUAAAGGGCGCGUAGGCGGCACAGCAAGUCGGGCGUGAAAGCCCGGGGCUCAACCCCGGAAUGGCUUUCGAAACUGCUGAGCUAGAGUACAGAAGGGGCAACCGGAAUUCCCAGUGUAGCGGUGAAAUGCGUAGAUAUUGGGAAGAACACCUGAGGCGAAGGCGGGUUGCUGGGCUGAUACUGACGCUGAGGCGCGAAAGCCAGGGGAGCAAACGGG